rnacentral:rRNA from 1 species
AGUAAGGAAUAUUGGUCAAUGGACGAAAGUCUGAACCAGCCAUGCCGCGUGAAGGAUUAAGGCCCUCUGGGUUGUAAACUUCUUUUAUAUGGGACGAAAAAAGGGCUUUCUAGCUCACUUGACGGUACCAUAGGAAUAAGCACCGGCUAACUCCGUGCCAGCAGCCGCGGUAAUACGGAGGGUGCAAGCGUUAUCCGGAUUCACUGGGUUUAAAGGGUGCGUAGGUGGGUUUGUAAGUCAGUGGUGAAAUCUCCGGGCUUAACUCGGAAACUGCCAUUGAUACUAUAGAUCUUGAAUUAUCUGGAGGUGAGCGGAAUAUGUCAUGUAGCGGUGAAAUGCUUAGAUAUGACAUAGAACACCAAUUGCGAAGGCAGCUCACUACGGAUAUAUUGACACUGAGGCACGAAAGCGUGGGGAUCAAA